rnacentral:rRNA from 1 species
UACGUAGGGUGCAAGCGUUGUCCGGAAUUAUUGGGCGUAAAGAGCUCGUAGGCGGUUUGUCGCGUCGGCUGUGAAAGCCCGGAGCUCAACUCCGGGUCUGCAGUCGAUACGGGCAGACUUGAGUGUUGCAGGGGAGACUGGAAUUCCUGGUGUAGCGGUGAAAUGCGCAGAGUAUCAGGAGGAACACCGGUGGCGAAGGCGGGUCUCUGGGCCGAUGACUGACGCUGAGGAGCGAAAGCGUGGGGAGCGAACAGG